rnacentral:rRNA from 1 species
GCUUGGCGACCAUAGCACGUUGGACCCACGCCUUCCCAUCUCGAACAGGACCGUGAAACGACGUCGCGCCGAUGAUAGUGCGGUAUACCCGUGUGAAAGUAGGUCAUCGCCAGGCU